rnacentral:lncRNA from 1 species
UGACACUCCCCCUAGAAUUAGAAUGGAGAAUAGAGGUUUUUAUUAUGCAAUGGCACUCCUGAAUACUUUCCUUCACGCAGGACAUUCUCCAUGGAUUUUGAAUGAAUAAAGAAGUUUUCUAUCAUGCAAGGGCACUUCCAAAGACUUCUUUCAAACAUGACAUUCCCCUUAGAAUUGACUGAAAAAGGAAGGCUUUUCUUAUGCAAAGGCAUUCUUGAAGACUUCACUUAACGUACAAUAUUCCUUAUGGAUUUGGAAUGAAAAAGGGAGGCUUCUAUCGUUCAAAGGCACUUCCAAAAACUUUCCUUCACAUGUGACAUUCCUCUUGGAAUUAGAAUGAAAAAGGGAGGCUUCUGUU